rnacentral:rRNA from 1 species
AUCGAACGCUGGCGGCAGGCCUAACACAUGCAAGUCGAGCGGUAACAGGAAGAGGCUUGCCUCUUUGCUGACGAGUGGCGGACGGGUGCGUAAUGUCUGGGAAACUGCCUGAUGGAGGGGGAUAACUACUGGAAACGGUCGCUAAUACCGCAUAACGUCGCAAGACCAAAGAGGGGGACCUCCGGGCCUCAUGCAAUUGGAUGUGCCCAGAUGGGCGUAGCUAGUAGGUGGGGUAACGGCUGACCUAGGCGACGGUCCCUAGCUGGCCUGAGAGGAAGGCCAGCCACACUGGAACUGAGACACGGUCCAGACACCUACGGGAGGCCGCAGUGGAGAAUAUUGCACGAUGGGCGCAAGCCUGAUGCAGCCAUGCGGCGUGUAUGAAGAAGGCCCUCGGGUGGGAAAGUACUGUCAGCCGGAAGGAAGGGAGUAAAGUUACUACCUGUACUCAUUGACGUUACCCGCAGAAGAAGCACCGGCUAACUCCGUG